AUUGAACGCUGGCGGCAUGCUUUACACAUGCAAGUCGAACGGUAGAGGGGGCAACCCCUUGAGAGUGGCGAACGGGUGAGUAAUGCAUCGGAACGUGCCCAGUCGUGGGGGAUAACGCAGCGAAAGCUGUGCUAAUACCGCAUACGAUCUCUGGAUGAAAGCGGGGGACCGAAAGGCCUCGCGCGAUUGGAGCGGCCGAUGUCAGAUUAGGUAGUUGGUGGGGUAAAGGCUCACCAAGCCAACGAUCUGUAGCUGGUCUGAGAGGACGACCAGCCACACUGGGACUAAGACACGGCCCAGACUCCUACGGGAGGCAGCAGUGGGGAAUUUUGGAAAAUGGGCGCAAGCCUGAUCCAGCAAUGCCGCGUGCAGGAAGAAGGCCUUCGGGUUGUAACUGCUUUUGUACGGAACGAAAAGGUCUGGGUUAAUACCCUGGGCACAUGACGGUACCGUAAGAAUAAGCACCGGCUAACUACGUGCCAGCCGCCGCAGUAA
rnacentral:rRNA from 1 species